rnacentral:tRNA from 1 species
CUGGGGAUGUAGCUCAGUGGUAGAGUGCUUACUUAGCAUGUAUGAGGCUCUGGGAUCAAUUCCCAGUACUUGGA